rnacentral:rRNA from 1 species
GAUGAACGCUGGCGGCGUGCUUAACACAUGCAAGUCGAACGGGAAUUACUUUAUUGAAACUUCGGUGGAUUUAAUUUAAUUCUAGUGGCGGACGGGUGAGUAACGCGUGGGUAACCUGCCUUAUACAGGGGGAUAACAGUCAGAAAUGGCUGCUAAUACCGCAUAAGCGCACAGAGCUGCAUGGCUCAGUGUGAAAAACUCCGGUGGUAUAAGAUGGACCCGCGUUGGAUUAGCUUGUUGGUGGGGUAACGGCCCACCAAGGCGACGAUCCAUAGCCGGCCUGAGAGGGUGAACGGCCACAUUGGGACUGAGACACGGCCCAGACUCCUACGGGAGGCAGCAGUGGGGAAUAUUGCACAAUGGGGGAAACCCUGAUGCAGCGACGCCGCGUGAAGGAAGAAGUAUCUCGGUAUGUAAACUUCUAUCAGCAGGGAAGAUAGUGACGGUACCUGACUAAGAAGCCCCGGCUAACUACGUGCCAGCAGCCGCGGUAAUACGUAGGGGGCAAGCGUUAUCCGGAUUUACUGGGUGUAAAGGGAGCGUAGACGGUGUGGCAAGUCUGAUGUGAAAGGCAUGGGCUCAACCUGUGGACUGCAUUGGAAACUGUCAUACUUGAGUGCCGGAGGGGUAAGCGGAAUUCCUAGUGUAGCGGUGAAAUGCGUAGAUAUUAGGAGGAACACCAGUGGCGAAGGCGGCUUACUGGACGGUAACUGACGUUGAGGCUCGAAAGCGUGGGGAGCA